GGGGUUGUGGCUCAGUGAUAGAGUGCUUACCUGGCAUGUAUGAAGCACUGGGUUCAAUUCUCAGCACUGCA
rnacentral:tRNA from 1 species